AGCCUAAGGAAGAUAUCUCAGGUCAAACCUGCCCAAUGUCAUAUAUGGUAUUAAUGGCCGCGGUACUUUGACCGUGCUAAGGUAGCGAAAUCAAUUGGCUUUUAAUUGGAGUCAGGUAUGAAUGGAACCACGGGGUUUUACUGUCUCCUAGAUAUUUAUUUGAAAUUACUGUAUGGAUGAAAAAGUCCAAUGAAAAGAAAAAAGACGAGAAGACCCUUAGAAUUUUUCUUAUAGUAAGUUGUUAAUAUACUUAUAAAGGUUUAGUUGGGGCAACUUAAGAAAAGUUAAACUUCUGCAAAUGUAUACAAGUCGUUUAUAUAAAAUAUGUAUAAAUUACCUUAGGGAUAACAGCAUUAUGUAAAAAAUAAGUUUGUGACCUCGAUGUUGGACUGGGAAACUAUUAGGCUAGCCGUUUCAUAGGAAAGUUCUGUUCGAACUAAUAUUCCC
rnacentral:rRNA from 1 species